GACGAACGCUGGCGGCGUGCCUAAUACAUGCAAGUAGAACGCAGUUGCGAACGGGUGAGUAACGCGUAGGUAACUGCCUCAUAGCGGGGGAUAACUAUUGGAAACGAUAGCUAAUACCGCCUAUUGCGAGAUGGACCUGCGUUUUAUUAGGUAGUUGGUGAGGUAAAGGCUCACCAAGGCGACGAUACAUAGCCGCCCUGAGAAGGUGAACGGCCAAACAGGGACUGAGGAACGGCCCAAGAUCCUAAGGGAGGCAGCAGGAGGGAAAUUUCGGGAAUGGACGGAAGUCUGACCGAGGAACGCCGCGUGAGGGAAGAAGGUUUUCGGAUCGGAAAGCUCUGGUGGUAGAAAAGCGGUAACUAACCAGAAAGGGACGGCUAACUACGUGCCAGCAGCCGCGGUAAUUC
rnacentral:rRNA from 1 species